rnacentral:rRNA from 1 species
GAUGAACGCUAGCUACAGGCUUAACACAUGCAAGUCGAGGGGAAACGAUAUUGGAAGCUUGCUUCCGAUAGGCGUCGACCGGCGCACGGGUGAGUAACGCGUAUCCAACCUGCCCAUCACUUGGGGAUAACCUUGCGAAAGUAAGACUAAUACCCAAUGAUAUCUCAAGAAGACAUCUGAAUGAGAUUAAAGAUUUAUCGGUGAUGGAUGGGGAUGCGUCGGAUUAGCUUGUUGGCGGGGUAACGGCCCACGAAGGCGACGAUCAGUAGGGGUUCUGAGAGGAAGGUCCCCCACAUUGGAACUGAGACACGGUCCAAACUCCUACGGGAGGCAGCAGUGAGGAAUAUUGGUCAAUGGGCGAGAGCCUGAACCAGCCAAGUAGCGUGCAGGAUGACGGCCCUAUGGGUUGUAAACUGCUUUUAUAAGGGAAUAAAGUGAGCCUCGUGAGGCUUUUUGCAUGUACCUUAUGAAUAAGGACCGGCUAAUUCCGUGCCAGCCGCCGCCGUAA